rnacentral:rRNA from 1 species
GACGUAGGGGGCGAGCGUUGUCCGGAUUCAUUGGGCGUAAAGCGCGCGUAGGCGGCCCGGUAAGUCGGAUGUGAAAUCUCACGGCUCAACCGUGGAACUGCAUUCGAAACUGUCGGGCUAGAGGCAGGUAGGGGAGAUCGGAAUUCCCGGUGUAGCGGUGAAAUGCGCAGAUAUCGGGAGGAACACCGGUGGCGAAGGCGGAUCUCUGGGCCUGUCCUGACGCUCAGGCGCGAAAGCGUGGGUAGCAAACAGG